GCGGCAGGCCUAACACAUGCAAGUCGAGCGGCAGCACGGGUACUUGUACCUGGUGGCGAGCGGCGGACGGGUGAGUAAUGCCUAGGAAUCUGCCUGGUAGUGGGGGAUAACGUCCGGAAACGGGCGCUAAUACCGCAUACGUCCUACGGGAGAAAGUGGGGGAUCUUCGGACCUCACGCUAUCAGAUGAGCCUAGGUCGGAUUAGCUAGUUGGUGAGGUAAUGGCUCACCAAGGCGACGAUCCGUAACUGGUCUGAGAGGAUGAUCAGUCACACUGGAACUGAGACACGGUCCAGACUCCUACGGGAGGCAGCAGUGGGGAAUAUUGGACAAUGGGCGAAAGCCUGAUCCAGCCAUGCCGCGUGUGUGAAGAAGGUCUUCGGAUUGUAAAGCACUUUAAGUUGGGAGGAAGGGUACUUACCUAAUACGUGAGUAUUUUGACGUUACCGACAGAAUAAGCACCGGCUAACUCUGUGCCAGCAGCCGCGGUAAUACAGAGGGUGCAAGCGUUAAUCGGAAUUACUGGGCGUAAAGCGCGCGUAGGUGGUUUGUUAAGUUGGAUGUGAAAGCCCCGGGCUCAACCUGGGAACUGCAUCCAAAACUGGCAAGCUAGAGUAUGGUAGAGGGUGGUGGAAUUUCCUGUGUAGCGGUGAAAUGCGUAGAUAUAGGAAGGAACACCAGUGGCGAAGGCGACCACCUGGACUGAUACUGACACUGAGGUGCGAAAGCGUGGGGAGCAAGCAGGAUUAGAUACCCUGGUAGUCCACGCCGUAAACGAUGUCAACUAGCCGUUGGGAGCCUUGAGCUCUUAGUGGCGCAGCUAACGCAUUAAGUUGACCGCCUGGGGAGUACGGCCGCAAGGUUAAAACUCAAAUGAAUUGACGGGGGCCCGCACAAGCGGUGGAGCAUGUGGUUUAAUUCGAAGCAACGCGAAGAACCUUACCAGGCCUUGACAUCCAAUGAACUUUCCAGAGAUGGAUUGGUGCCUUCGGGAACAUUGAGACAGGUGCUGCAUGGCUGUCGUCAGCUCGUGUCGUGAGAUGUUGGGUUAAGUCCCGUAACGAGCGCAACCCUUGUCCUUAGUUACCAGCACGUUAUGGUGGGCACUCUAAGGAGACUGCCGGUGACAAACCGGAGGAAGGUGGGGAUGACGUCAAGUCAUCAUGGCCCUUACGGCCUGGGCUACACACGUGCUACAAUGGUCGGUACAAAGGGUUGCCAAGCCGCGAGGUGGAGCUAAUCCCAUAAAACCGAUCGUAGUCCGGAUCGCAGUCUGCAACUCGACUGCGUGAAGUCGGAAUCGCUAGUAAUCGCGAAUCAGAAUGUCGCGGUGAAUACGUUCCCGGGCCUUGUACACACCGCCCGUCACACCAUGGGAGUGGGUUGCACCAGAAGUAGCUAGUCUAACCUUCGGGAGGACGGUUACCACGG
rnacentral:rRNA from 1 species